UUGAUUACAAGCUUUAGGGAGAAUUAAAAAUAGCUACUGGUACUCAAAUGGUACUGGAAGUAAAAAAGAAUAAUUAAAAUAAUAGUUCCAAGUGGUUUACAUUUGGACAAAAAAUAAGACCGUAGUUUCAAGCUGC
rfam:Peptoniphilus lacrimalis 315-B contig00011, whole genome shotgun sequence.